CGGGGAGGCCUCAGUGUCUCCUCUCCUUCGGGAGAACGGAAGGACGCCUGCGGCCUACCUUUUGGAGCGUUUGCAACAAAUCCACAACUGGCUGAAAAGAUUAAAAUCCAUUUUGCCCUGGCUCCAGUCAAUACUAAUAGAUAUAUAACAAGUAUGGUUUGUGGUCUUGCUUACAUCGAACCAGCAUUAUUCAAGAGUUGCCUUGAUGUCUACUUGAUACAGAAUCCAGCAGCAAUUUCAUUUCAAAAUCCAUUUCACAUUAUUCAAGAACAACUUUUCAAAUUUUAUCACUCAGUAUUUGUGAUACUGAGUGAUAUUAGAAUCAGAUCAGAUCAUAUCAGUCGCUCAGUCAUGUCCGACUCUUUGCGACCCCAUGAAUCGCAGCACGCCAGGCCUCCCUGUCCAUCACCAACUCCCGGAGUUCACUCAGACUCACGU